GGAAGCUAGAGAUAUCCAAGAGCAGCCAGAGGACAGGAAGACCUGGCUGAGCCAGAGGUCGAAGCUGCGGCAGGAGCUAGAGUCCUUUGGUGAUGUAAAGAGGUGGCUGGAGAACAAGCCCAGCAUCACGCCUUCAGAGGCCAAGGUCUUACACAUGAUCCACGAGGAGCAGAGUGCCCAGCCAAAUGCCUCCCAGGCAACUACGAGGACUACCAGGAAGAAAGCCCCCAGGCUCUCCCGGCUGUCCCGCCAGAUGGUGCCCCAGCUCCAGCUGCCCAAGCCCCCUGCCCUGUCAGUCAUGUACUCCUACCUGCAUAGCCGCAAGAUCAAGAUCCUGGAGAUAUUUCACAAGGUGGGCCAGGGUGAGAACCAGAGAAUCACCAGGGAGGAGUUCAUCGCGGCUGUAAAGGCAGUCGGAGUCCCUCUGAAGAACCAAGAGGUGGAGGAUAUAGUGAUCUACCUCAGCUCUCUUGGGAAGCACAACACCAUCACCAUGGAUAUCCUGGCCAAUACCUACAAGCAGUGGUCUAUGGCUCAGCAAAGGAGCAGCCUGGCCACUGCAAGGGAGCGUGCGUACCCCUCCCCAUCCUGUGCCUCCACCUCCCCAUCCUGGGAGCAAGCAUGGUGCAGGCAGCCUUGGCCUCUCCUCCAAACUCACUUCCUCAGUGUGUUCCCCAGUUUUGGCCAACUGUGGUUUGGCCAAGCCUCUGGAAAUUUUCAGGCCCAGAGAUUAACUAAGGAGUAGAUAUUCCCUUGAGUGCCCAGCUACCACUGUGUCCAUUCAAAGAUAAAUGAGUCCCAGCCCUUGUUCUUAGAGGAGGAUACUCAGCCCACCAGAGCCCACCUGAGAGGCUGAGAACUGACCCAAAUGGCAAGCCUUUCCAGAGACAUUUAUGUGUGUGUGGGUCCAAGGCCUCCUCACUAUUAAUCCAUAGCUUAUUGAUAAAAUUCUUGUUCAGAACCAGAAUUAGCACAUGUUUACAGUUUACUGGAAAGUGUAUUUUGGUAUUCUGCUAUCAGGGGUAUUAUGGCAGGGUUGCUGUCAACAGUUGUAAAGGUUGUGCAUGGCUCAAGUUCCAUCUGCCAAGCAAUACAUUUGUGGGGCCACAUCUGUCCAGACAAGGCACAGAGGCAAAUUAGAAAUGGACUUGCUAAAGCUCUGGCUGUGAAUUUACUCUACAACACAAAGGUGCAUUGUAUAAUAUUUCUUUAUAUCUUAGUACCAUUCUUGUAGUAAACAAACAAACAAAGAAACAAAAAAGAACAAUUACAACCACCCACCCAUUCUAGCACCCUUCCCAAACAUAGCCACAGCUUUGUUUUUCUAAACGAAACAAAUCUUGCUCUGUUCCCAUCCACCAGGUUGGCAGGAACUUAAUCUCAUGCAUGUUUGGGGCUUCCUUGUCCUCCCUGAGUCACACAGGAGCCCUGGAGGAGGCAGUGGAGGGGUUUCCUAACAAUGGUAAAGAUCUGGGGUGAGGCCGUUGGAGUUUACAGUCACACCAAGAGGAGUUACUCAGCAUCCUCACUGGAGUGGCUCAUUUGGGGACAGCAGGCAGCUCAGAGCAUCCAUUCCUCAGUCCUCCAGGAGAUUUUCAAUGUCCAGUCUCAACCAGCUGUCCUGCAGAGAAACUAUCACCUCCCAAGCAGGGUCUCUGCCUCUCUCAGAGCUCAGGGAAACUCAGCACCCCAACAGUCGCUCCUGCAUGUGUCACCACCCCAACAGUAGUAAUCUCCUUUAUGUCCAGCACAUUUUUAAGGUCACCUCAAGUUGGGCUGCUUUCCCUCUGAUACUCUUUGUGCCUUUUUGUUAUAAAUUACCAAGCUUAUCGUUAUCUGUGUAGCUGGCUGUGAGUCAUUUCAAUGACCACAGUGUGCUGUGAUGCAUAUUCGCAGCAGAGAUAUUUUGGGGUCUGUUAUUUCCCAGUAAGUAAACACAAAGCCAAGCAGCAGACCUUUGCUCUCAUGGUGCUAUUUUGGCGUCAUCACUGAGUUCUUUUUCCCUGGUGAGCAAUAGUGGGUAAGAUAGGUAGACUGGGGUGUGUAAGAAUUAAAGAAAGAGGAAAGAAACAGGAAAGGUGGCUCAAUAGUCAAGGACAGGUUUAUUUUAGAGAAAACAAACCUGAGAGGGGCUGCUGGCUGAGUUAGGUCAGAGCCACACUCUCUUACAGACUAAGAGUUUUUAAGGAUUCACGGUGGAAGAGUUUAUCAGAGGCUUGGACUGCUUCUCUGUCUCUUUGUUGUGUUUAUCUGGGAGGCAGAGUUGCGUGUCUGUUUCCAUACAUCUUUCUGCAGCUGCAGGCAUAUCCCCCAAGUCUGCUUUUAGCUUCCCUAUCUUAGUGCACCUGAAGGGAAAGGAAUGUGCUUAUUAAGGCCCACAGUUUUACUGGGGCCCAUUGUAUGAGGGUGAAGUUUGGCAGUCACCCAAGAGACUUUCCCCUGACCUCCCUCUGUGCCUGAGCUGUCUUGUCUGUGUUUUACUGUCUGCUCUUUCUGGCUGCUUAUGUUAGAAGAGAAGUGAUUUCCUUGAAAUGCAUGAGGCUAGAAAGGGAGCUGGAACUUAAAGUGGCGGUGUUUGUCCCAGAUGACGGUGCUCCUGCUCUGUCCGGGUGUCUCUCACUUUGUCUAAAGAGGCAAGAGUUUGAGCGUCUUGGCAGGGGUGCCUUCUUCCAGUAGUUCUUCUUGCAGUAGCUCUUCUUCAUUCUUGCAGAAUGAUCUCAGUUUAUCCUUUAUGUCCGCAGAGGUCAGGAUUACUAUUCCUGCUUUACGAGGAGGAAGCUGGAGCUCAGAGAGGCUGAGCCACUUGUUCACAGCCUCAAUAGAAGGUGGUAAGGGAUAUUAUUUCAGCUUGAGACAAUGAAGGUCUGAACCAGGGCAGGGACAAUGGGAUUCUUUCAUUCAUUGGAAUCUUUGUUGAGCAACUACUAUGUGCCACUUCUAGAAACUGGGAACACAGCAGUGGGCCAGCCAAAGCCCCAGCUUUUGAUGAGCUUGCACCUAAAGGGCUGGUGGUCAGGGACGGCCUCUCUGAGAAGCAGACAUUGGAGCCGACAUCUGAGUGAUUGACAGGAACUAGUCUUGGGGGAAGCACAAUCUAGGCAGAUAGAACUGUGAAGGCAAAGGCCCUGGGGUAGGAAAGCUUGCAAGAGACAGAAGGUGGUCAGGGUGGCUGGGUGGAACGGGUGAAGGGUGAAUGGUACGCCAUGGACCAGGUGGAAAGGCAGCUGAGGCCAGAUGGUACAGCAGGGCCUUGUAGCCCAGGGAAAGGACUCUGGGUUUUGGUCUAAAUGCUGUGGGAAGCCAAGGGAAUGAGGCGAUCUGGUCGGUCGGUCGGUCGGUCUGUCUGUCUGUCUGUCUGUCUGUCUAUCUAUCUAUCUAUCUAUCUAUCUAUCUAAUCUAUCCAUCCAUCCACACAUAUCCAACAUAAGGAGAUCCAUGCAAUGGGGUCUCCUUAUGUUGCCUAGGCUGGAGUGAAGUGGCUAUUCACAGGUGUGAUCAUAGCUUACUGCAGCCUCAAAUUCCUGGGCAUAAGCAAUCCUCCCACUUCAGCCUCCUGAGCAGCUAAAACCACAAGCGUGCCACUGCACCCUGCUUUAUAUAUGUAUAUAUAUUUUUUUGGGGGGGGGAAUGGAGUCUUGCUCUGUCAUCCAGGCUAGAGUGCAGUGGUGUGAUCUCUUCUCACUGCAACCUCCACCUCCCGGGUUCAAGCAAUUCUCCCGUCUCAGCCUCCCAAGUAACUACUACAGGUGCACACCACUGCACCUGGCUAAUUUUUGUAUUUUUAGUAGAGACGGGGUUUCACCGUAUUGGUCAGGCUGGUCUCAAACUACUGACCUCAGCUGAUCCACUCGCCUCAGCCUCCCAAAGUACCCUGCUCUAUAUUUUUUGUUUGUUUGUUUGUUUUUGAGAGGGAGUCUCACUGUGUCACCCAGGCUGGAGUGCAGUGGCAAGAUCUCGGCUCACUGCAACCUCCAGGUCCCAGGUUAAAGCAAUUCUCCUGCCUCAGCCUCCCGAAUAGCUGGGACUACAGGCACGUGCCACCAUGCCCGGCUAAUUUUUUGUAUUUUUAGUAGAGACGGGGUUUCACAGUGUUAGCCAGGAUGGUCUCGAUCUCCUGACUUCAUGAUCUGCCCUCCUCAGCCUCCCAAAGUGCUGGGAUUACUGGCGUGAGCCACCGCGCCUGGCUAUACUCUAUAUUUUUUAAAGAUCCUAUUUGCUGCUUGGUGAGACAGGGUGACAGGACGAGAAUGGCAGCCAGAGGGCUGGGGUUGGUGCAGUAAGGGACGCCAUUAGUGGAGAUGGAGAGGAGGGCCACAUCUAAGGUACAGCUUAGGUGGCUUAGGUGGGCACUGCCCAGACGUGUGGGAAGGGAGCGGAGGGGUGGCCUGGUGCCUGCUGGGUGACACUGGAUAACUGCUUGGCAGGUUCCGUGGCUGGGCACCCUCUUAGUCCCUCCUUCCUUCAUCUCUUCCCUCUGACUCCAGGUUAUAUCUUGGCCAAGCACAGAGAUUCCCUGAAGGGUCCGCUCAAGAAGCAGGAGGUGGAUUCAGCCCCACAGCUUCCCAAAGUGGACCUACUGACGGUGCCUGCAGUCGACACGCAGAUGGAGGCGCGGCCCAUGACCCUGGAGGAGAUGGAGGAAGUGGGCAAGCGGUACCGCGAGCGGCAGCGACAGCACAAGCUCACGAUCCCCUCCAUCCAGUACACGGAGCAAUGUCACCUGGUGCGCUGUGGGAAUCGGCACUUUGAUGAGCACUGCCUCCCGUCCACCAUCCACGGGGAUAUGAGGGAGCUCAUUGACUCGGCCCGCAGGCACAACUUUCUGGUCUACCUGCAAUGCUGGAAGCUCUGUGAGUCCUAUGGCCUCCUGCUGACGGAGGACAUCCUCAUGAAAGCCUUGCUGUACCCAGGAGACAUGAUCAUUUUCCAGAUGGACAAAGUGUGCCCCAUCCGGCAGCCGGGAGGCUACUACUCUGACUGGAAGGUCUUUUCUCCGAAUCUGGCUCUGCUCCGGUCCCAGGGCCCUGGCAAGUCUAAGAGGACUGACAAGAAAACGCCAAAGAAAAGCAAGAAAAUGCGCUUUAAGGAGUUUGAGGAAUUUACCAGGAAGCUGAAGGUGAAGAGGUCCAGUGGUCUGCAGCAAACACACCCCAAUUCCUUCUGGCCGGGUCAUCUUCUGGAUAAGCUGCAGCUCUACCUGCCCACUGUGGCCACAGACCGGAGCCUGGCGCUCUUCAGUUGUGUUCAACACCAGCCCCAUGUCUACCCAGCCACCUACCACCCUGACCACUGGUGGCCCCUUAGGAACAAGAACUACAUGACCCGCGCCCAUUAUGAUGCCGCCAAGGUGUACUACAUCAACUAGAGCUAGCCAGGUGUGGCCGGACCCAGCCUUCCUGGGCCAGGGGCCAGUGCAGCCAGCGGCCCAGAGCCCAGACACAAGAGGAGUGUCAAAGAGUCAAACUAAAGAAAUCCUUUCAAAGAGGGAUGGACCGGGGGCCAGUUCCCUCUGGACUCAAAGUGUCCAGUGUCUCAGAGGGUAGAUGUGUCCAAGGAAUGACGUGCAGUUUUUGACUAUUUCCCUCCCCUGACCUCUGCCCUUUCUACAUAAAGCAGGUUGGAGUUUUUCUCA
rnacentral:sRNA from 1 species